AUUGAACGCUGGCGGCAGGCUUAACACAUGCAAGUCGAGCGAGCGGCGGACGGGUGAGUAAUGUCUGGGAAACUGCCUGAUGGAGGGGGAUAACUACUGGAAACGGUAGCUAAUACCGCAUACUAUCAGAUGAGCCUAGGUCGGAUUAGCUAGUUGGUGGGGUAAAGGCCUACCAAGGCGACGAUCCGUAACUGGUCUGAGAGGAUGAUCCGUCACACUGGAACUGAGACACGGUCCAGAAUCCUACGGGAGGCAGCAGUGGGGAAUAUUGGACAAUGGGCGAAAGCCUGAUCCAGCCAUGCCGCGUGUAUGAAGAAGGCCUUCGGGUUGUAAAGUACUUUCAGCGAGGAGGCGUUACUCGCAGAAGAAGCACCGGCUAACUCCGUGCCAGCAGCCGCGGUAAUAC
rnacentral:rRNA from 1 species